UAUGGUAAGCCGCCGCGGUAAUACGUAGGGGGCAAGCGUUAUCCGGAAUUACUGGGUGUAAAGGGUGCGUAGGUGGUAUGGCAAGUCAGAAGUGAAAACCCAGGGCUUAACUCUGGGACUGCUUUUGAAACUGUCAGACUGGAGUGCAGGAGAGGUAAGCGGAAUUCCUAGUGUAGCGGUGAAAUGCGUAGAUAUUAGGAGGAACAUCAGUGGCGAAGGCGGCUUACUGGACUGAAACUGACACUGAGGCACGAAAGCGUGGGGAGCAAACAGG
rnacentral:rRNA from 1 species